GACCAUACAUAGUUUCUUGAGUCUUGAAGAUUACACUUCUAUGGCUACUUGAUUCAGUUUAUGAGCCUUGAAAAUUACACCUCUUCUAUGCAUGCCUGCUUCAUGAUUCUGUUUACACUUCUUCUAUGCAUUUUGCUUCAGGAUUCUGUUUACACUUCUUCUAUGCAUUUUGCUUCAUUGAUUCUAGAAAUUAUUUGAACCAUUGAACAUUAUGUAAUUUCCAUCCUCCAUAAAUUUUAUAUCUUCUCUAUCAUACCACGAGAUAUUUCCUGUAUAAACCAGUGUAUUACUAGCACAAA
rnacentral:lncRNA from 1 species